AGACCAGGCCUUUCAGGCAUCCUCUCCUAAAAACUUUCAUGGGCUGGCGCUUCGAGCGCCGGCCCUUUUUUUGUCGUCG
rnacentral:sRNA from 1 species